rnacentral:misc_RNA from 1 species
AUUUUUCGGUCAGAUCUGACAACGAAAGUGGUUCCUAUUGCACUCAAAAGAUGCCUGAUUCCUAUUUGGAUACCUUUAUUAAUUACAGAGAGGAAGGCACGAACAGCUCUGCUGCACCUGUAUCUCAGUACUGGGGUCGAGGGUUCGACUCCCAUCACUUUGACUGUGCCUCUGUUUGUCGGUCUGUCAUCUGACGUCACGGACUACACGUGUGAAGCAUUAUUUCAAGAGAACCUUUUCGGUAGAUGUAUCCCAUAAUCCCCCUUCUACAUACACUGUAAAGGACCUGAACUCGGAUGAAUUUGACAUUGAACCCUCGAGGCCACUCAGUCAAAUCAGUCAGACCAGAAGUGUAGCAUCGGGGGACACGACGUUUUUCAUCCAAGAGGGUCUACGGCAGCUGUGUCUCUCUGCUACAAACACAUCAAAUGGACUCAUACAACAUAAAAGUCUUGUUUUUUUAAAAGACACCGAAACAGGAUUCAAAUCUCUUCAUUUCGCCUUGGGUUCUGAAUGGACUUUCCCUUUUCAACUUCGGCCUCUGUGUGAUUAUAAUUUGCUGGUAAUAAGGGGAUAUGAGACGAAGAAAUAUUUGUUUUUUAUUAAUGCUGUGGCUGUAUGUUCAUUUAAAUCACACAUGACACAGAAUGAAGUGUAUUUGCUGUAUGGAAAAGCCUGUAUCCAUUCAUUAUCCCCCGGACCAAGGCCAUCCUAUGACUUUUACCCUGUCACGCACCUGUAUCGUAGUAAACCAAUUCUUUAUUUCCUAGACAUAUUUAACAACAGUGGCGGUAUCAUGGAAAAAUACAUCAAGAACCUUGGGGGAGACCCAGCAUCAACUCUGAACAGGAGGCUUCACGGCCUGUUCUUCAGUUCUAGCGCUGACCCCCUCACUGGCCAGCCUCCGGCUGUAUCUUACUACGGAGACCAGAGAAUCCACAUCCACAUCGGUUUUAUGAUUGACCAAAGCAGGAAUUUGUAUUUCGCGGACUUUUAUUGUCAUUACGUCAAUCAUCGCGUGACAUUAGUUAUUACGUUGAAAGGAAGCGAGGCUGACGCAUUUUGUCGACAAAGACUCCGGGCCUUAGACCCUGCGUAUAAUGAGUUUCUCUACCGCCGUCCACAUGAACAUUAUGCCAUGGUGAAUACUAAAGUCACAGUGGAAGUGUUUUAUACUGAAGACAUAAAUAUAUUCAGACUUUUAAGAUUAAAUUUAGCAUAUUUAACUUCAGUUCAACAGUCAAGUAAUGCUGAAUUAAAAACAGUAAUUGGUCUUCCGAAAAGAAUAGAUUGUAAAAUUUGCAAUAUUAAGAAACCUUUGUAAUAUUUUUGGUUACUUUGGUAAGUUUUGGAGUAAAAAAAUUAGUAUGCUUUUAGACAUGCUAUUUUUUUCUUGCAUACUAGUUUUUUUUAUGUAUAUUGAUAUAUUCAAUCCGGAUGUUUUGAAUUUAAGUAAUCCUGAGGACAAAUCUUUACAGCUCUAAAAGCUCAAUCAUACCUUUAAUAAAUAUAAUUGAUUUG